AUAUUUCUCAAUAGUUCUCUCUCUCUCUCUCUCUUAUAUCAAUGGCCACCAAUUCUUUGAAGUUUACUUUGGUGACUAUUUUCAUCUUUGCUAUGACUCUUUCUCCCACUUUACCAUGUGAUGCUGUACGUGUUUCAUUAGCAGUUAGUAGGCCCGUAUGUCCUGCUUGUGUGUGUUGCAGUCCACCACCCCUAGGCUCUUGCUGCAAGUGUUGUGCUUCUCCAAUUCAAACUCAGACCAUAGGUCAAUCUCCAUAGUAGGGAAAGCACAUUCCUUAUUAUAUAGCACCAUAUAUAUAGGUCUUAAUUAAAUCUACUAUAAUUUACUUUUUGUUGAAUAAGAAGAGCCUUGUAAGUUCUGAUGUAAUUUCAUCUAUGUGUAAGAAUAAUUAUCAUAAUCUUACUAUAGAGCAAUUGCCACUUAUCAUCAAGGGCUUAAGAUGGUAUAAGAGAUUGGAUCUUAAAAGUUAUAAAUUGUUGAAUGAGGCGUUUGCAAAUGCAUUUGGAUUGA